rnacentral:snoRNA from 2 species
CCCCUCUCAGGAUCACACCUGGAGAGCUCCCAGCACUCUACCAGUCUCGACUACAAGAGGGAGAGUCAAGCAGAGUCAUAUCCAUCCCAUUCCUAGCUUGGCCGGUGGCUAGCGAGUGGAAGGCAAUCUGCUCCAAGU